rnacentral:rRNA from 1 species
UAUUCCCCACUGCUGCCUCCCGUAGGAGUCUGGUCCGUGUCUCAGUACCAGUGUGGGGGAUAAGCCUCUCAGCUCCCCUAGACAUCGUCGCCUUGGUAAGCCGUUACCUUACCAACUAGCUAAUGUCACGCAUGCCCAUCCGUAACCACCGAAGCUUUCGUUGUAAUAUCAUGCGGUACCACAACAAUAUGGGGAUUAGUGGAAGUUUCCCUCCGUUAUACCCCUGUUACAGGUAGGUUGCAUACGCGUUACGCACCCGUGCGCCGGUYGUCGCCAAAGUAUUGCUACCUCGCGUUACCCCUCGACUUGCAUGUGUUAAGCCUGCCGCCAGCGUUCAUCCUGAGCCAA